rnacentral:rRNA from 1 species
UACGUAGGGGGCAAGCGUUGUCCGGAAUCAUUGGGCGUAAAGCGCGUGUAGGCGGCCCGAUAAGUCCGCUGUGAAAGUCCAGGGCUCAACCCUGGAAUGCCGGUGGAUACUGUCGGGCUCGAGUCCGGAAGAGGCGAGUGGAAUUCCUGGUGUAGCGGUGAAAUGCGCAGAUAUCAGGAGGAACACCGGUGGCGAAGGCGGGUCUCUGGGCCGUAACUGGACGCUGAGGAGCGAAAGCAUGGGGAGCGAACAGG